rnacentral:rRNA from 1 species
GACGUAGGGUGCGAGCGUUGUCCGGAUUUAUUGGGCGUAAAGAGCUCGUAGGCGGCUUGUCGCGUCGUUCGUGAAAACCCGGGGCUCAACUCCGGGCUUGCGGGCGAUACGGGCAGGCUAGAGUUCGGUAGGGGAGACUGGAAUUCCUGGUGUAGCGGUGAAAUGCGCAGAUAUCAGGAGGAACACCGGUGGCGAAGGCGGGUCUCUGGGCCGAUACUGACGCUGAGGAGCGAAAGCGUGGGGAGCGAACAGG